rnacentral:rRNA from 1 species
AUUGAACGCUGGCGGCAGGCCUAACACAUGCAAGUCGGGCGAGUGGCGGACGGGUGAGUAAUGUCUGGGAACCUGCCUGAUGGAGGGGGAUAACUACUGGAAAAGGUAGCUAAUACCGCAUACCAUCAGAUGUGCCCAUAUGGGAUUAGCUAGUUGGUGGGGUAACGGCCCACCAAGGCGACGAUCCCUAGCUGGUCUGAGAGGAUGACCAGCCACACUGGAACUGAGACACGGGCCAGACUCCUACGGGAGGCAGCAGUGGGGAAUAUUGCACAAUGGGCGCAAGCCUGAUGCAGCCAUGCCGCGUGUAUGAAGAAGGCCUUCGGGUUGUAAAGUACUUUCAGUCGGGAGGCGUUACCCACAGAAGAAGCACCGGCUAACUCCGUGCCAGCAGCCGCGGUAAUAC